AGCUCGCCUUCCUCCUGAAAUCACGCUUCCCCCAGCGAGCCUUGUCCCUGAUAGGACGCUCGUCCUACAGCAAAAAGGCCCAGGGAAAAGUCCCACUCAAGUUGGUUCCAUCUUCACAAAUUCUCUCUUCAUUGAGGUCAAGGUUAUUUCUAAACCUCGUUUCCAGCCCCGGGUGCUACUGUGCAGUUUGGAGCCUGGAGAGCAGAGCCUGGAGUAUGAGGUUUUUCUCCAAGAGACUGAUUUUAUGAUUAAUUCAGACAUCUUAGGCUAGUGAAUUUCUUUGAAGAUGCCUACAUUUGAUGUCACUGGCACAGACUUAGAAAUCCACAGGACAGAGCGUAGAGCCACCCGGGAGCUCUGCCAGCACUCACAGCAGAUCAUAUCAGGAAUCCGUUUUGCCAGAAAUACUCUUGUCUUUACUCCCUGCCUGGAGCUGAGUAAGAAAAAUGCCGGGGCCUCAGCAGGCAAGUUCUUCCCGAGUCAACGCAGUACCAGCGUCCCCUCUCACGGUGCAUCCUUUCCACAGAGUGGCGAGGCUGGCGGGCUCCUACCCAUCCUUCAAAUUGAGUCCAGAUGCUGCCUCUUCCAAGAAGGCAGUCGUUCCCGCCCUGUCUGGCGCCUGCCCUGUGGACACCUCGGCAUCCAGCCCGAGCCUCACAGACCGCAUGGGGCUGGCACUGUUCCACCACCUGGCCAGCUGUGUCCUGGGAGUAGCAACUGUACAAAAGCUCAAGGUAGAGCAAGUCCAGUGCAGAGAAGUGAACGUGAGCGUGACUUGGCAGACGCAGGGUUAGGAUCGCGUUCAGUGGCUCAAGUGGAAACCCCGACGACCGUGCACUUCGUCUGUUGAUGGAAGCUGCUUCCCACCCUUCUGCACCAGAUGGAAACACAGAGGCUCCAUUAUGAACUGGCACUCACGCUGUCUCCUGGCAGUGGCUUCUGUGCUGACAUUUGAAUUUACGCUGGUGGCAACAAGAUUGAGAAAUAGCUCAUAGUUCAUCCUUCUGUUUACAAAAGAGCCUGUCCCAGGAGUGCGAGUUUCACUCGUCAGAAAAUGUGAUGCCAAGAUUGUGGAAGACCAGGCGUGUUUGGUUAUAAUCUCAUCAGUCAAGGUAAUCAGCCCCUCAUGUCACUCUGGUCCCAGUAAUUUAUCACAAAAACCUAAUUAGUUUUCUUCCAUAAAUCAAGUUCAUGCCUUUGGCAAAAUCACAGUGUUUUCCAGAGCUCAGGUGGAGUUUGGGGAAUGAGAAGAAAGGCUUUCCUGGGGGAGUGAAAGUUGGUGAGAAGUGUGGGGACCACAGGUAGAAUGAGGGUUAGGACGGGCCCCGAGGGGCCCACAGGGAAGUCACCCGUGGAGACUCCUCCGGGAGCUUUUCUCCUGGGCAGCAGGAAGAUGCCAGCCAGACGCCAGCCUCUGUUUCAUGUUUUCUCCAUGUGGGCAGACUGCUACCUAUGGUAAUACAAACAGUGAUGCAUGUCACCCCUUCUCCUUCCCUUGGCCACCCUGUCUGGACUGCUGCCAAGCCAGUAACCCACAAGACUUGUUCGUAAUAGACAGACAUUGAAUGGAUGGAGAGAAGGAUGGAUGGAUGAACGGAUGGAUGGAUGGAUGGAUGGAUGGCUGGAUGGACAGGUGACCAGGUGGACAGGUGGUUGGAUGGGUGGGUAGCUGGAUGGUUGAGUGGAUGGACGGGCAGAUGGACACGAGUGGACAGCUAUAACCUGGUGCUCUGGGUCAAGAGAGGCAGUAAGCACGGGAUUAAGAGCAAGCCCCGCGGAGCACGCUGCCUGUGCCUUACUCCCAGCGCCCAGGACACCCACCAGGACCCUGGAGGACCCCUUGACUGUCCAGUCUCCUCUCCUGCAAGAUGUGAUUAAUGUCAGGCCGUUGUGAGGAUUGAGUGAGUUAAUACGCGAGAGCGCUUGGAAACACAGCAGUCUGCUGUGCGUUCGCGAUUAUCGUGAUUAUCAUAUCAACUGAGUGACAGAGCCCCCCCGCCCCCCACACCGGCUCCUUGGUUUCUCCACUCCGCCGAGCUGGAGGAGGGUGGUACAGGCUGCACUCAGGGCACAAGUCCCACGGGCUCUGGCUGGAGGGUUGGGAAGCCGGAGGUGGAGCCCAGAGUCUCCAUGCUUUCACGGUGUUCCCCACUUUGACCCUGGCACCGGACGGCUGACGGCAGGCCCGUGGAGACAGCACCGUGCUCUCUGGCGGUGUGUGAUGGGUCUAAGAAAUCCUCCAGCUGCCCUGCACACGGGGGUGACUGGCUCCUACGCUGUGUCCUAAGGGUCGGGGUCUGCACGGCGGGGGUCCUGCCUCGACCACCCGCUCACCGCUCGCAGGUGCCACUGAGCGCCCCCUGUGUGCCGGUGCAGGUCUGCUCUGUCACCUCCACCCUCACCCCAGCCCACGUUGAAUCUUUUCCAUAAAAUCCUCUCCUCCCUGCUCUGCCCCUUCAUUCGCCAAGGGCUUAGGUUGGUGUCUGGCCGGCGUGGUUCUGGGGUCCUCUCCUCCCAGGACCAGCAGGCAAUCACAACCGGGUCUCAGCCCCCUCCCCACCUGAGUCUCCAUCUCUUCACUUCCCUUUCCAGUCCCUUAAGUGCAAUUCUGGGCGAACUUUCCUCAGGAGGGUGUAGGGCGUGAGAUGGGACAGAUAAGGCCCCGGGAGGGGCACGCGGACGUCCCCUGAGGCUCCAGGGGAGAUGGUCAGGUCAGGGGGCGCAGUCUCCCACGGCUUCCUUUGUGUGGGGUGGGGUCGGAGUGCGCUGGGGGAGGACAGAGACCAGAACGGGGUGUUUGGACCUCUCAGGGUCUCCUCAGGGACCCCCGGUGCGAGGACGGCCCUGCCUGCACCGGGAGCGGAGGGCCGGGCAGUCUCCGACGUGAAGAGCUUCAUUUCCUGAGCCGAGCCCUGCUGUGAUUUCUGUUCCCAAAGCAGCUGGUCCUGGAGAGGGGCUGUGGGAGUGACAGUGAAAUGUUCCUGCCGACUAAGAAACAGGGGAGAUAAAUUGCACAUUAAAGUGAAAAUAAUCCAUAAAAUUGUGAUGCAUGGGUUGGCAGAGCCACGCAUGCAACGAGGGGGACGUGGCUUCUCCCCCGUCUCCACGGCCCUCAGCCCCACGCCGUGCCUGUGCUGUGUGUGCCCGGAGCGGCACCAGUCACAUGCUCCCCAUCCCUGGGGUCCCCAGAGGCCCAGCUUCUCCUGGGCCAUGUCGCUGCAUCCCGUGUGUCAGGUCCCCUGGGGCAGGGCCAGGCUGGGGAGGCGGGGGUGGCCACUACACGUCCAGAGGACGUCUCAGAAUGCACGUGCCUGCCUGCGCUGUGAACGUCUCUGUUCUGAACAAACCACCCAGCUGCCCUGGCGGGAGCCCCAUCCCUACUUCCAUUUGGAAAUCACUGUGGAUCAAACUUCCAGGGUCGAAUGGGCCAGCCAGGCUCCGCGAGCACCAGUCCCAGCCCCUGCCACCCUGAGCCAGGAGCAGAGAUCCCACCCUCCCCUGCCUGCCCCGUCCCCACCCCCCACCAAGAGUCUCCUGGUCUUUCCGACUCAAACAACAGUGUGCUGACAUUUUAAUCCUCUCAGGAAAAGGCCCCCCAAACUCCUCGUGGCCCCAUUUCUCUGCCUCGCCUGUCAGCAAGGUCCUGAAGGGGUCGUCCCUGUCUGAUGUCAGAAACCCCCUGCAUGGUCCCGUGGAGUCUCCUCCACGCCGCCUGACCCAAGGCUUUGUCUCCGUCUUGAACUUGAGCCCCGCGGCAGUCGAGUGGCAGACCACCCCUCCUCUGGGGUCCUCUCUCGGCUCCCUACCCCCCAGAGGGAGCUCUCUGUCCCCGGUGUGGAAGGGUCUUUGGACUGUGAUGCUAACCAAGCAGACAGCGGACGACAGGAUGUGUUUAAAGUGAAGGGUAAGAAGGCUUGCAUUUGUUUAAAGGAGCACGGAAAGCCAGGCACGAACCUCACCUGCUGGUGGGUACACGGGAGACCAGGGGACCGGAGAGACACAGCUCUGAGUGUCAUUCCAAUACCUGAGCGCCGUCGAGGACUGUCCUGUGACCCAGGCGAGGAGGAAGGCCCGGCUCAGGAUCUGGGUCACAGGCCUCCGGCUCCCCUCCGCCCACGACACCCUUUGAGGCCCGCCUGAACGCCAGCUCACCCCGACGUCUCUGGUCAGGUGAUCACUGCCUCCCAGCAGCGCCGUAACGCGCUGCCGGUACGUUUAUUAAAGCGUUUAUUUCACCCCACCUAGCGUAGUAGUUAGUAAUUAACCUGCCUGUCUCCUCUAAUGAUGGAUCUCUCCAGGGGAAGGCCGUGUGUUGCUCAUCACCGCACUCCACAGAGGGGCCGAUGAGUGGAUAAUCUAGGGAAUCCCCAGGACGGCUCACACCUGCCUGAGGCGGUUCUGAGCCCGUGUCGUGUCAGGGCCUGGGAGUCUCUCUGGGAUGGACUGGGCUGCCUGGGAUCUGUCCAUGCCUGUCUUUGGGUGACCAUGGAGUGACACGGACACCCAGGUCUCCCCAGGCCGUGCUGCGUCCCACCCUGGGGCCUUGGGCCGGCCGACGCCCCCCGUCUCUGCCGAGUCCCGUCCCUGCGUGGGCAAAGGGCUCUCCUGCAUUCCACUUUUCCAGUCUACACAGAUGUGUCAACCCACGCCAAAUAAUUUGAAGAUUUCAUCAAUUAAAAUAAUAAACACAGAAGCCUUCUUACGGGAGACUUGGGGACAGCGG